CAUUAAAUAGCUAAAAGUUAGCAAUGGAAUUUUAAACCAUAUUAUAGUAAAUUAACAUCUACUUUUAAUGG
rnacentral:tRNA from 1 species